UACGUAGGGUGCAAGCGUUGUCCGGAAUUAUUGGGCGUAAAGAGCUCGUAGGCGGUUUGUCGCGUCUGCUGUGAAAACUCGGGGCUUAACUCCGGGCCUGCAGUGGGUACGGGCAGACUAGAGUGCGGUAGGGGAGACUGGAAUUCCUGGUGUAGCGGUGAAAUGCGCAGAUAUCAGGAGGAACACCGGUGGCGAAGGCGACAUCCUGGACCGGUAUUGACGCUGAGGCGCGAAAGCCAGGGGAGCAAACGGG
rnacentral:rRNA from 1 species